UCACUGGACCUCAGGAGGAUCCUCGUCACCGUGAUGACGCAUAUGAGCCCCCAGAGCUGCUCUUCUUAGUAGAAACCUGGAGAGCUGCCCACGUGGGAAAAAGCUUGACUGUUUCCCCAUUGGUCGAGACAACUAUUUCACCACCGUGUACACGACACCCUCACAUCAGUGUAAUAUAUGAUAGGAGUCAGUCAGCUGCUUUGGAUCUUGGCUACAUCUGUGAAGACUCAGGGAAGGAGAGGACUCUGCCUCCAGUUCAAGGAGCAAGAGGACUGGCUCCUCUACUUGGGCCAUGUGAUCAGCACAGCACAUGGUGCUGGUUACAGCUGGAUGACAUAGGAUUCUGUGUGCACGCUCUGAAAAGCUCAGAUAUAAAGGCACUUCCUAGAUUUCUAGGCUUGUGGUGGAAAGCCACGCCUUUCUCAAUAAACAAACAAAAAC